rnacentral:rRNA from 1 species
AACGAACGCUGGCGGCAUGCCUAACACAUGCAAGUCGAACGAGACCUUCGGGUCUUGUGGCGCACGGGUGCGUAACGCGUGGGAAUCUGCCCUUGGGUGCGGAAUAACAGUUAGAAAUGACUGCUAAUACCGCAUAAUGACUCCGGUCCAAAGAUUUAUCGCCCAGGGAUGAGCCCGCGUCGGAUUAGCUAGUUGGUAGGGUAAAAGCCUACCAAGGCAACGAUCCGUAGCUGGUCUGAGAGGAUGAUCAGCCACACUGGGACUGAGACACGGCCCAGACUCCUACGGGAGGCAGCAGUGGGGAAUAUUGGACAAUGGGCGAAAGCCUGAUCCAGCAAUGCCGCGUGAGUGAUGAAGGCCUUAGGGUUGUAAAGCUCUUUUACCCGGGAUGAUAAUGACAGUACCGGGAGAAUAAGCCCCGGCUAACUCCGUGCCAGCCGCCGCGGUAAUAC